rnacentral:lncRNA from 1 species
ACAAGGCUUCUCCCUUCGGUGAAAUGCCUUUGCGGUCUCAUGAUAAACACACCCGUGGAGGCCGAGAGCUCUUGGAGGACCAGCUGCAGCCUUGAGAUGCAGGUUGGUCCAUGAGGGGGAAGAAGCCUGAAUACUGUCUCCACUGGCCUCUGAAAACAAGGUCCCUUCAACUGCAGGGAAUGCUGGCCUCAGUGUCAUCUGUAGAAUGGGGUCGUCAUAGGAUCCAGCACAGGGGUCACUGUGGAGGGCCGAGAAGAUGACGUGUGCGAAGGCCCUGCCUCACAGGGAUGCUCAGUGAGGAGAAGCUGCAUCCGCUCUUUCCGCAGACCUGGGAGGGCUCUCGACUCGUUUGGGGCUGCGUGUUAAAACCCUGGUGAAUGGGGUCAUGUUGUUUCUACUCUGAUUUGUUGUGUGUCUGUGUUUUCAGGACCUCUCUGGGCCAUGUGCGGGGAGUUGAGGGACCUUGUUCUCCCACUGACAACACUUUGAGCUUCCAAGUUGUCAUACUGAGGAUUCACCGUCUCCAGGCGGGGGUUGGGGCUGACCCUUCCACUGUCCCCGUCACUGGUGACGUCACAGCAGAGGAGUCUGCGGAGACCGAGUUCUGGGGGAGGGGAGGGGUCUGGGGGGCAGUGUGUGUCCCUGUGGUGUUGGGCAUGUCAAACAGCCGCCCCUUUCCUCUGUUUGGCAGAUGCCAGCACUUCACACUCAUGUGGACGCAUCGUGGGCCUUCUACAUAUGCUGAGACAGCUGUGGGUCUGUGCCCAACACCCACAGGGCUCCAGAAAAUGCUGAGCAGGAAGAAGGGCUGCGUGGGGAGGCAGGAGGGCAGAGGGGCCUGAGAGCUGGGCAGGCAGCCAGAGCCCUGAAGACUCAUCAGGAGCUGGGACGGAAUGCACGCGUGAGCCGAGCCCAAGCAGACCCUCCAUCGGUCAGGGCUGGCCCUGGGGGAGCCAGUUCCCAGCUCAGGGGCCGGCAAGCAGGCCCACGGACGCUGCCUGGGCCUCCUCCUGCAGACCAGCCCUCCAACUAGCCCGAGACAAAACACUGGAGAGGGCCCACCUCCCGCGGUCAAGGUGAAGGGUAAAGGAGACAGCGUUCGCUCAGGCAGCGCCAGACACACAGCAGGUGCUUCAGCAUUACUGUCACAAACCCAGGCAAAGCCCAGGGCUGAGGCGAGUAACAUCACUUCCAACGGACACGGAGGCGAUCCAUCCCCAGCAACUUGGCCACUGAGUGAGGCAGGUUAGGGCCCUGGCUCCUGUUCUUUUCACAUCAAAUGAGAAAGAUGUGCAGCUUGGCACAUGUUUGUGGCACACCCACAUCCUUGUUGCCAGGAUGGCAUCCCUGCCCUUCAGGAGCAUCCUGGUCAAUGGGGUCUGCUCUGUUCCAGGCAGUGGAGGUGACAGGGGUUGGGAGAUGAGAUGGAUACCCUAAAAGUUAAUAUCUUACCUAUAUAUAAACUGAAUAGCCUAAUAAUUA